rnacentral:rRNA from 1 species
UACAGGGGGGGCAAGUAUUAUUCUACAUGAUUUGGCGUAAAGGAUAAGUAGGUAGUUUCUCUAAUAUUAAAAAAAAUUCUAUAUAAAAGUUAUAGGUAGUUUUGAUAUAAAGUGAAACUAAGAGUUUACAAAAGAUAAUAGAACCCACCAAAGUAACAGUGAAAUGUAGUCAGAUUGGGGGGAAUUUCGAAUGGCAAAAGCAAUUAUCUAGAUAAAACUGACACUGAAUUAUGAAGGUAUGGGGAGCAAACAGG